GGUAAACAAUGAAGGCAGAGUUCUGUAAGGAAGUUAGAGGAUCUAGUGGGGUGUCUUGAGUUCUUCCCUCCUCUGCAUUCUCCCACUGAAAUAGAUCAGAAGACAGCUUCUCAAGUCAGAUGUCUGUAUGGAAUGAAUCUUGAGAAACAAAUCCGAUUGGCUGAGACAAGACUCUGAAUCGCUUCAUCUUGGAUUAAAUGGACUCACCCUGGUCCGAUUAGCUGUAACCACAAGGGUAGAUCAUACAGUGCAAAUAGUGCUGUCUAUCAGUGACUGGACCUGCCAAGCCUCAGCCGCCAAAUGGGUGGCUGCGAGACCCACGUAAGGAGUGGAGGUUAGCUGUCACCGGCAUGCUUUGGAUUGGAUUUGGAUGAAGGAUUUGUUGGCACAGAUUCAUCCGUGUUCCCACGCCAGGAUCCCUUCAAGACCAAAUGCAAGGUCAAGAUGGUCUGUCGUCGGCAGAGCGGAUUUGGGAAAACAACUCAUAAUCUUGGCUUCAUAAUUCAGGGCUCUAACCCAGCACUCCUCAAACUUUAAUGUACACACAAGUCACCUGAGAUCUUGUUAAAAGGCAUCACAGAAAUAAAAGGAAUUGUAACUAUGGGUGGCAACAGAUGUUAACUAGACUUAUUGUGGUGAUCAUUUGGCAAUGUAUAUAUUGAGUCAUUAUGUUGUAUACCUGAAAGUAAUAUAAUA